UCAAAAAUUAAUUAUUUUUUAAAAAAUUGGUUUUGAGUUAAUAAUUAUAUGUAAAUAUUUGUUUAUUUAUUUCUUAAUGAUUAUAUUUUAGCAAUUUUUAAUUUUAGUUUUUAAGUUUUCUUAGAACUAUAUAAACUCAUUUAGGUUUGUAUAAAGUUGUGCCAGCAUACGCGGUUAUACAUCUAAGUCUAAUCAAUUAUUUUGGUAUUUAUUAAUUUUAUAUUUUGAAAUAAUAUUUAUUAAUUUUCGAGUGAAAUUGAAAUUUUUCUUUUAUUUUUGGUUUGAGAUUAUAAGAAAGCUAUUUUUAAAAACUAGGAUUAGAUACCCUAUUAUUUUAGCUGUAGUUUUUAUCCAUGGGAUUAAUAGUUAUGGUCUUUAAAUUAAAACAAUUUGGCGGUAGUUUAUUUCUUUUCAGAGGAAUCUGCCAUGUAAUUGAUAAUCCACGUUGGGUUUCACUUUAAUUUUUGUUUGUAUACCUCUGUCAUUGAGUGUCUUUAAAAAGAAUUUUCACAUUUUAUUAUUUAAUUAAUGUCAAGUCAAGGUGCAGCCAUAUUAAAGAUAUAGGUGGAUUACAUUUAACUUAAAUUUAUUGAAUUAAUUAUUUUAAUUUAAUUAUGAAAUAGGAUUUGAAAGUAAAUUCUAAUAACUUUUAGAAUUGAUUAUAGCUCUAAACUAUGUACACAUCGCCCGUCGCUCUCAUUAUUAAAGUGAGAUAAGUCGUAACAAAGUAAUUUUACUGGAAAGUGAAAUUGAAAUAAU
rnacentral:ncRNA from 1 species